rnacentral:lncRNA from 10 species
AGGGAGAAGACUGGGAGGUGGCAAUGAGAUAUUGUGCACAGUCAGGUGAUACGGAGUGGGAGUGAAACUGAUGGAUUGAUAAGAUGUUAAGAAAGAACGAGAGGUUCUGUGUGUGUGUAUGCAUGCGUGCGUGUACGUGUGUGUGUGAUAUAAUUCUUUUUCCUGCAUUCAAAAGACCUCAGUGUAGAUUUUUGUAUUUUAAUAUUUCUAAAGUCAUCUUUUAUUUCUACUGAAUGAUGAAACUUCCUGGGUAAGCAAGAAGGCUCAGUUUUAUUGAAGGUAUAUAUGUAUUUGAAGUAAGGUAAGAUAUAAAAUAUGAUAGGGAAACAUGAAAUGAGAAAUAUAUGCAAGAGAAAUAUACUUUUAUUUUAAUUAUCCAUCUUGCUUAUUGUGCUGUGACCUAGAUAAAAUGCUUAACUAUUAAAUUCUGGCAUUAUGUAGAAUGGAUUUUUUCCUUUGAGAUAUACUAUAUUGGCUGCUGUCUCAUAAAUAUGAUACCAACUCUCCCUCUACCACAAAGAAUUAUUAAGCAGUAAUCAUUUCCUCAAUUCCAAGUAAUUUCUAGUAGAUUUGUAAUACAUGUAGAAAUUAACAAAGUAUAAGAAUUGAGAUGUUCACUUUAAAUUUUUAUUAUUUUUAUUUAGUAUUUUCAUCAUUUAUCUAGGGAAUCAGGGAAGGGGAUUAAUAUUUUUGAUGACCAAAUGCUUAACAAUCAAUUGCUUACUUAACAACCAUGUGAUUUAGGUAUUGUUUUCCCAUUUCAUAACUGAGAAAAUUAUAAUAUAGAAAUGAUUAAUAAAUUUAAGAAUUCUCAGAUAGUGAGUAGUAGUGGAGCAUGGUUCAAAACCAUGUCCACUGGAUACCCACGCCCACCUCUAAUCCAUGCUCUCUCUUACCUGUAACAGGAACAGUUACUGACCUAAGGACUUUUGGGGUAACUUGUGGUACUGCUUUUUAAUUUUCAUAGGAUUUUACAUUCGUUUGAGUUCCAAGACAAGCUGAUUAUUUUUAAUUGCACAGAACUUUACACUUCUGUUUUAACUUUUGAAGGCAGCUUUAAACUGAGCCCUAACACCUUUGGACAUGGGCUGCUUUGUCUAAGCAGAGUUUGUACCAUCUCAGGAAGGUGGACUCAGAGGGUAGUGUCAAGGUGGUGCCAAGAAAGGGGUAGACAUGGACUAGAAGCAAAGUAAGUACUGAGUUUUAUCUCUGGCUUAUCAGCCCUCUCAUAUUUUCAGUGUCUACUUGCUGGGGACACCCCUGCUUCUAGAGAUUCUCUAAGCUUGAUGGUUGCCAUCUUGGGCCACCACUUACCAUCCUUCCCUUAAAGCAGAUUGAGUUGGGGAAAAGUUGGAUGUGGAUUGACUGUAACAAAACGUUGAAUGAGUUAAUUGCUUCUUCUGAGCCAACCUUCAUUUAAGAAGAAGAAGGCUCUUCUUUAGGAGGAAGAAGGGCUGGCCAGAUGCUGAAUUAGAGGAACAAACAGGAAAAUUGACCUGACCAAGGUGCGUCAGCAAGAGUAAAGACUGAAACUCAGAAUCCCUUCUGGGCUCUUCCUUCCAUGCAGCACCAGCAGCACUGGUGGAGAAGGGCAGAGCUGAUGGGGACUUAGACUCUGACCUCUUGACGCCUUGUUGCAGAGCUCCACAGAGGACGUAACUCACAUGCUGUCCUGGCCUGCUGCUUGGGGACCCUACAGGUCACUGCUGUUUUAGGUCUACUCCAAGUGUGGUUCUGAAUCAGCCUCAUCAGCACCACCUGGGAGCUUGUUAGAAAUGCAAAUCCAUGGGACCUGCUUCAGACCUAAUAGAGUGAGAACCUCUGGGGGUGGAGGCUAGCUCCUCAAACGCUGCUGAUUCUCAGUAAAAUUUGGGAAGCAUUUUAAUUAAAGAAUUCUCUGGCCAGAUUGGUUGAUGGACUCAUUAAAUAUUUAAAUUUUUCAGCCUUUUGGUGGAUCUUGGUACUUCCUAGUUGAUGUUACUAGUGUAUCAUUAUGUACUAUCUUGUAAUAUUGUAGGGCAGUUUAACAAAAUUGUUAAGAUGGUGAAAUUGUGAGAUGGUGAC